GACGAACGCUGACGGUGUGCUUUAGACAUGCAAGUCGAACGAGAAAGCCCUUCGGGGUCAGUAAAGUGGCGAACGGGUGAGUAACACGUGGGCAAUCUGCCCCUCGCAGGGGGACAACCGGAGGAAACCCCGGCUAAUACCCCGUAAGUUCAAAGGGAGGCAUCUCCCCUUGAAGAAAGGUAGCUUCGGCCAUCCGGCGAGGGAUGAGCCCGCGGUGCAUUAGCUAGUUGGUGGGGUAACGGCCCACCAAGGCGACGANGCAUAGCUGGUCUGAGAGGAUGAUCAGCCACACUGGGACUGAGACACGGCCCAGACUCCUACGGGAGCAGCAGUCGGGAAUCUUGCGCAAUGGGCGAAAGCCUGACGCAGC
rnacentral:rRNA from 1 species